GACAGAGGGUGCAAACGUUGUUCGGAAUUACUGGGCGUAAAGCGCGUGUAGGCGGCCAUCUAAGUCGGGCGUGAAAUCCCACGGCUCAACCGUGGAAGUGCACUCGAAACUGGAUGGCUAGAGUCCUGGAGAGGAAGGUGGAAUGCUUGGUGUAGAGGUGAAAUGCGCAGAUAUCAGGAAGAACACCUAUGGCGAAGGCAGCACUCUGGGACGGUACUGACGCUCAGGUGCGAAAGCUAGGGGAGCGAACAGG
rnacentral:rRNA from 1 species